AGAGUUUGAUCAUGGCUCAGAAUCAACGCUGGCGGCGUGCCUAACACAUGCAAGUCGCACGAGCCAGGGGCUUCGGCCAUGAGUCCGAAGGCGCACGGGUGAGUAACACGUGAAUCAUCUACCAUCGAGUGGGGAAUAACCUAGAGCCAUCUGGGCUAAUACCGCAUAACACUUACGAGUCCGAGCAGCAAUGCGCUUGGGGAGGAGUUCGCGGCCGAUUAGUUAGUUGGCGGGGUAAUGGCCAACCAAGACGAUGAUUGGUAUCCGGCCUGAGGGGGCGCACGGACACACUGGAACUGCCACAGUCCGGACUCCUACGGGAGGCAGCCAAGGGGUUUAAUGCGCAAUGGGGGCCACCAUGACGCAGCAACGCCGCGUGGAGGAUGCCAUCCGUCGGGAUGUCCGCUCCUUUCGAUUGGGAAGAUUAUGACGGUACCAAUAGAAGAAGCCACGGCUAACUUCGUGCCAGCAGCCGCGGUAAUACGAGGGGGGCAAGCGUUGUUCGGAAUUAUUGGGCGUCCGGGGUGCGUAGGCGGUUUGACAAGUCUUAUGUGCCAUCUAUGGGCUCAACCAAUAGUCUGCAUGAGCCACUGUUGAGCUUGAGUAUGGGAGAGGUGAGUGGUUUAACCGGUGUAGCGGUGCCAUGCGUAGAUAUCGGAAGGAACACCUGUGGCGCCAGCGGCUCACUGGACCAUAACUGACGCUGAGCACGCCAGCUAGGGGAGCCAACAGGAUUAGAUACCAUGGUAGUCCUAGCCAUCCGCGAUGAUUGCUUGUGUGGCAGGUACCAAAUCCUGCCGUGCCGAAGCUAACGCGAUAGCAAUCCGCUGGGAGUACGCGCAAGCUGCCACUCCGAGAAUUGACGGGGCCAGCACAAGCGUGAGCAUGUGUUUAAUUCGACGCACGCGAGACCUUACCUGGGCUC
rnacentral:rRNA from 1 species